UACUCGUUAGGAGUUAUACAAACGUUCUCCAUAAUGGUAGUUUGUUUCUCAACCAUUGUUUCUUCGUCGAUGUCCAUUCUUGAAUCCAAGACCUGCAACUCGUUUAAACGAUGGCUCGCUCCUUCCGGUACCACCGGAACAGUAAGCUGGUUGACAGCCGUCUCGACACGUUCGUACGGUCGCUUCAAACACUAAGAAAUUAGACUCGGGGAUUUUGAAAGCGUUGAAACGCGCUUCCAGACUGUCACCAUCUCUCAAACGAUCCAACCCGGGGAAUACGUAAUUGUCCACUGGACAGCUGUGCGAACAAAUCACAUUGUUUUAGUGUUAAGGACUUCUAAAAAAAAUUGACGUUAGAGAAUACACUGGGAAGAAAGAUAAAUGUUACGUACCCAUCCUGAGCUUCCAGCCUAAAAGUGAGUGGAUCACCAACAGCGAUGGUUGUCGUAGGUCUGCCUUGAUAAAGAAUCAGCAAACGUACUCGAGAACUUAGAGUAUUUUCCGCUGGAAGAUAUUCGAUUGGAAUUGGAGACCCUGAUCUACACAACAUAAGUGCGAAUUUCAUUAGCAUAAUCGAAACAGAGUUUUAUCCGCAUCGACUGAAACAAGCCACACGAGUGUCUCUUCUCAAUUUUGCACAAAAUAUAAUUCAAAAUUCAAGAUAAUGGAAUCAAAGUGAUCCUCAACAAUGAAACUUGAACUCGAUAUUAAAAUAAAUUUCUCGAGUGUGCUUGCACCAGGAUUCGUGUUAAGUGAAUGCGACACAUUCUGCAUUCCAUACUCGAUGACAGAUCGGACUGUUUAAUUAAGUGUACCGGGUGCAAGGCACGGUCUCUCAAUCGAUAUGACCUGGCAUACCCGGCACCGAUGUAGCCGGA